rnacentral:lncRNA from 1 species
GCUUGUGAUGGCACGUGGAUCGAUUCGAGAAUGCCCGAUCCAACGGCCGGGAGACAUCCACAAGUUUAUCAUUUCUUAAGCAAAUGUAGGAUAAAAUAAUCCCCAUCCUCAAUGCGAUGGGCAGUCAGCCAUGAGAGCAGAGACCAAUGGUCGGACCCAAUCCAACAUUUGUUAAUUGUAAGUGUGUGUGUGUGUGCAAGACGAAGA